AGUGGGGAAUCUUGGACAAUGGGGGAAACCCUGAUCCAGCCAUGCCGCGUGAUCGAUGAAGGCCUUAGGGUUGUAAAGAUCUUUCAGCUGGGAAGAUAAUGACUGUACCAGCAGAAGAAGCCCCGGCUAACUCCGUGCCAGCAGCCGCGGUAAUACGGAGGGGGCUAGCGUUGUUCGGAAUUACUGGGCGUAAAGCGCACGUAGGCGGAUCAGUCAGUCAGGGGUGAAAUCCCGGGGCUCAACCCCGGAACUGCCUUUGAUACUGCUGGUCUUGAGGUCGAGAGAGGUGAGUGGAAUUCCGAGUGUAGAGGUGAAAUUCGUAGAUAUUCGGAGGAACACCAGUGGCGAAGGCGGCUCACUGGCUCGAUACUGACGCUGAGGUGCGAAAGCGUGGGGAGCAAA
rnacentral:rRNA from 1 species